UACGUAGGGUGCAAGCGUUGUCCGGAAUUAUUGGGCGUAAAGAGCUUGUAGGCGGUUUGUCACGUCUGCUGUGAAAUCCCGGGGCUCAACCCCGGACCUGCAGUGGAUACGGGCAGACUAGAGUGUGGUAGGGGAGAGUGGAAUUCCUGGUGUAGCGGUGAAAUGCGCAGAUAUCAGGAGGAACACCGGUGGCGAAGGCGGGUCUCUGGGCCACUACUGACGCUGAGGAGCGAAAGCGUGGGGAGCGAACAGG
rnacentral:rRNA from 1 species